UACGGGGGGGGCAAGCGUUGUUCGGAAUUACUGGGCGUAAAGGGCUCGUAGGCGGCCAACUAAGUCAUACGUGAAAUCCCUCGGCUUAACCGGGGAACUGCGUCUGAUACUGGAUGGCUUGAGAUUGGGAGAGGGAUGCGGAAUUCCAGGUGUAGCAGUGAAAUGCGUAGAGAUGCGGAGGAACACCGAUGGCGAAGGCGCCACUCUGGGCCGAAACUGACGCUGAGGAGCGAAAGCGUGGGUAGCAAACAGG
rnacentral:rRNA from 1 species